UUGGAAAGUNAAAGUCGUAACAAGGUUUCCGUAGGUGAACCUGCGGAAGGAUCAUUACAGAAUGAAAAGUGCUUAACUGCAUUUUUUCUUACACAUGUGUUUUUCUUUUUUUGAAAACUUUGCUUUGGUAGGCCUUCUAUAUGGGGCCUGCCAGAGAUUAAACUCAACCAAAUUUUAUUUAAUGUCAACCGAUUAUUUAAUAGUCAAAACUUUCAACAACGGAUCUCUUGGUUCUCGCAUCGAUGAAGAACGCAGCGAAAUGCGAUAAGUAAUAUGAAUUGCAGAUAUUCGUGAAUCAUCGAAUCUUUGAACGCACAUUGCGCCCUUUGGUAUUCCAAAGGGCAUGCCUGUUUGAGCGUCAUUUCUCCCUCAAACCCUCGGGUUUGGUGUUGAGCGAUACGCUGGGUUUGCUUGAAAGAAAGGCGGAGUAUAAACUAAUGGAUAGGUUUUUUCCACUCAUUGGUACAAACUCCAAAACUUCUUCCAAAUUCGACCUCAAAUCAGGUAGGACUACCCGCUGAACUUAAGCAUAUCAAUAGCGGGGGGGNA
rnacentral:sRNA from 1 species